rnacentral:rRNA from 1 species
GUGUGCUAAGUGCACCUUCCGGUACACUUACCUUGUUACGACUUACCUCAUCUUUAGCUGACAUGCGUAUUAUUUAUUCAAAGGCGUAGCUUGUGAGGAGGGUGACGGGCGGUAUGUACGUGCCUCAGGGCCAACUUAAAGGGGGCUGAUAUUGUCCCGCUUUACUGCUAAAUCCGCCUUCCAGGGGGAGUUUCAUACCCCUUUCCGUAGAUUUUCUAUGUUAGGAAAAUGUAGCCCAUUUCUUCCCCUCCAUAGGCUAUACCUUGACCUGUCGUACUAGCGGGAUUGGGCUAUUAUGCCUACUGCCAUGCUCUCAGGGGAGGUAGGCUGGCGACGGCGGUAUAUAAGCUGUUUUGGCAAGGAGGGGUUGGGUAUAUCGUGGAUUAUCGAUUAUAGAACAGGCUCCUCUAGGUGGGUUUGGGGCACCGCCAAGUCCUUAGAGUUUUAAGCGUUUGUGCUCGUAGUUCUCAGGCGGAUGUUUUGGUGUAGUAAACAUCAGGAUUUAGGGCCGAGCAUAGUGGGGUAUCUAAUCCCAGUUUGUGCCUUGGCUUUCGUGGAGUUAGAUUAAUCGUGAGUGCUAGGGUCAUUUUGAUUGAGGAUCUUACGUGCAACCUUGGCUUGUGACAGCUUGGUAGCAUUUUGGCCCUAGUUGAUGUGAUAAUGCUGUGCCACUCUUUACGCCGUGUGGACAAUUAGUUUGGGUCUCUUGUGUGACCGCGGUGGCUGGCACAAGAUUUACCAACCCUAUGUUUGCUAUGACUGAGUCAAGCUUUCGCUCAUGGCUCAAUGUUAGUUACUGCUGAAUACCCGUGGGGGUGUGGCCAGGCAAGGCGUCUUAGGCUACCGUUGGGCAAGGUGUGCCUGAUGCCUGCUCCUUAUGUCUUGGUAAGAGGCUGUGGGCAUUUACACCGGGGCGUGGAUGCUUGCAUGUAUACAUCUAGCAAAAACUAAUGGUAAGGUCAGGACUAAAUCUUUU